CAGCAGCCGCGGUAAUACGGAGGGAGCUAGCGUUGUUCGGAAUCACUGGGCGUAAAGCGCACGUAGGCGGCUAUUCAAGUCAGGGGUGAAAGCCCGGGGCUCAACCCCGGAACUGCCUUUGAAACUAGAUAGCUUGAAUCUUGGAGAGGCGAGUGGAAUUCCGAGUGUAGAGGUGAAAUUCGUAGAUAUUCGGAAGGACACCAGUGGCGAAGGCGACUCGCUGGACAAGUAUUGACGCUGAGGUGCGAAAGCGUGGGGAGCAAAUAGGAUUAGAUACCCCCGUAGUCCCUGUCUCUUAUAC
rnacentral:rRNA from 1 species